AGAAAACAGAGAGAUGAUCAUUUUGAGAACCGUUUUGAAAAUUAAAUUGGCAAGACUUGUGGUUUGAAUGAACCUGGAAGUUAGGAAGGAGGACGAGCCUAGAAUUACUUUCGGCUGAUGCUUGAGUGACCAAGAGGAUGACGGUGCCAUUAACUGAAGCAGGAAAGAGAGGAGAAUUCACAGCAAAGUCGGGGAGAACAUGGUGAGCUUGGGUUCCGCGAGGCUGUUUGAGGCAUCGGUGAGGCACGUGCGUGUGUGUGCCCAUGCGCGAGCUCGCGUGCUGCGGGCGCAUCCGCCAGGCGUUGGCGUUGCAGAGACCAAGAGCAGUGAGAUCCUGGGAAGGGAAUGAGGGCGCCCUGGUGGGAAUGCAGGAACACCAGGCCAAUGAGAAAAUGUGCUGGAGCCCCGCCAUCUCACAGGGAGCCGGCAAAGGGGACAGAUGAUGAUGGGCAUAAAGGGAGGAGAAAAAAAGAGGACCAGACUCUGCGGAAGCAAGAGCACAGAGGCUUAAGGAAGCAGAGGUCACCCACUGGUGCCACGGGCAGGGAAUGUAAAAUACAACCUUGGACCAGGAGAACUGCCCUGGGGUCUGUAUGGGCCUUAUACAUAGAAUCAGACUUGUGAUUCACAUUUGAACAGGAGAACAGACAUCCACACAUGGAGGUCCAUACUGAGUUCUCUGAUGAUGGAACCCUUACCUGGGAGGCAGGAUGACGUCAGGUGGCUGGUGUGGAAGACACCUGCCUCUUUCUGCCUGGAUCCAGGCUGUUCCUCCCUGAUAUUGCACCUUGGGAAGGGAGACGCCCACCCAUCUGGGUGGCUGCGGGGUGGGACACUCUGAAGGUGGGGCCCUGUCUGUAUUAGACAAGGUCCCUGGCUUUCAGCUCCCAUGAUGUUUAGGGUCAAGGAUGCAGCGGGGCCUGAGGAUGCCAGCUUUCCCUUCUCCCCAGAGCCACAUGGGUGUUCUCUGUGCCCGGGCACAUCUCCAGCUGUGGAGUCUGGAGCGUUCUGUUGGGUGCAGUAAGGGAGGCGCCUGCAGAAAUCAGAGGGCAGGGCGGCGGGGGGGAGUCCUGCUGUUGCCCAGCUCCCUCUUGCCAGGGCUGUGCUCAGCCUCUUUCCCUGGUCCCCUGUAACCCUGGCUGGAGGCUCAGCUCCACUGAGGACCUCCCUCAGAAGGCAGAAACCCCUCCUUCCUCUGCCCCUCCAGGCAGAGGGGUGGCUGGGCACCCUAUCCCCUGAAUUUUUGUUGGGGUGUCAAAUCCAUCCUUCGCUGGUCCCUCAGUUCAUCCCACACCUUCUGCAUAGGCUUUUAUUAAAGCCUCUGUUGCAGAGUGUGAGGUACAGUUCCAUUUCAUCUCAGAACCAUGUUUUCUGGUCCAUGAGGGACCUCCUGGCCGGGAGAAGGGUGCCGGGCAUGGCCUUCCCAACCAUCCAUUUAACUGAUAUCCACGGGCACAGAGUCACUUGUGGCUUUUCCUUAGGCUGUUUUGAAAGCUUAUGUGCUUGUGUUUGUCUUCUGAAUGGUCUUGCCUGGCCUUGGCCUUGGCGUGCUUGGGAAGAACUUGCUUGUGAGUUGUCUCUGAAAGAUGAAACCAUGCAUCAUGACAGCGGUGCCCCAGGCAGAGGCACCCACCCCCUCUAAUCAGCACGGGUAGGUUUCCACUGAAGUCAGAACAGUCAGCUUCACAUGCUAUAGAGGCCCGGAUGCAGCCAGAUGUUGUCUCAGGGUGGCCUUGCUGGCUGUAGAGAGAGAUGGCCGCUGACCCAGCCUUGCCAGGCCAGGAGGUCACAUGCCACCCACGUGUGUCAGCUCCUUAGACUCUGUCCAUGAUCCCCACGAGGGUCCUGGCGGUACCACAACUCAUGUAACUGCAUCUGUCUCAGUCUUGCAGAAACAUGAACAUGUCAAGGGAUUCUUGUAUUUUUUCUUUCUUAGAUUUUGUUGUUGUUGUUGUUUGUCUUUUUAGGGCCACACCCGAGGCACAUGGAGGUUCCCAGGCUAGGGUCGAAUUAGAGCUGCAGCUGCUGGUCUACACCACAGCCACAGUAUCUUAGACCUACACCACCGCUCACAGCAAUGCUGGAUCCUUAACCCACUGAGCAAGGCCGUGGAUGGAACCCGCAUCCUCAUGGAUACUACGCAGAUUCGUUAACUACUGAGCCACGAUGGGACUCUUCUUUUUUCUGUCUGUCUGUCUGGCCUGUUUUCCCUUGAAGCAGCGGGCUCCCGUCCUAGCUCUGCCAUUGCACAUGCUCCCUUCACGCUAAUCCCAAGGCGCCUUUCUAGAAUUCCACCCCCCCCCCUGCCCCGUGGCUCAGCGGAGGCUCAGCGAGAGGGGUUCCCCUGAGGAGCCUUCCCACAGACGUUUUCUGAAGCCACCCCUCCCUCCUGGAUAGGGCACCCCCGUGGGUCUGGGGGAGAGGACCCCACCUUCAGUGCCCUGCCCUGCUUGAAAACACGGGCUGGCCUCUAGCUGAAGGCACUUGAUCUUCGGCUUCUGAGAAAAGCCAUUUGAAGAACAUGAGUGCAUUUGAAGUGUUGCUCAUAGUUCAUAUGAUUGUCUUAGGAUUUCACUUUAUCUGUAAAAACAUGAGUUUCAGGGGAGAACAAAAGGUCAGGAGGCUUGAGUCUUCAGGUGUCGCCAUGAGUGCUGAUGCCCAGCCUCGCAAGCAGGGAUGUGACAGAGGCGCUGUCCACUGAGCAGGUGAUGGGUCCUGAUUUGGAGGAUAACUGGUUUACCUGGGAACUGAGGGCUCCUGGUCCCUGAACAGCUUUCUUCUGCCUCGUUCUUGAGUGGCGGGGGGAGUAGGAGGGGCUGCAGAACCUCCAGGGUGAGACCAGGGCCUCUCACACAAUUUGACUUAAUAAAUAUUCAUAAUGAUAUGGUUACUGAUCAUCCCAAUACAGUAUCUGGAAUCUAUGAAACAUAUGUUUGACUUACUGAGCGAAGAAUAAUGGCAGAUCAUAUGGUACAUUUCACAGGAAAGAAGAAAAUGCAUUCUAUCAGAUGCUGAUAGAAUGUUAGCGUGUGUUUGAAAGGCAGCAUUAACUUGAGACAGAAGUUAUGUUUAAUUCACCAACUUUAAUAGCAUUUUCUUUCCCCUUUUCUUACAUACAUCUUAAAGCAACAUUAUGAGCAAAGUGGCAGGACUAAAGGGAUAAUAAAUCUAGAGAAAAUGAGCUGGUGCAUUCCUUUGAAUCCUGGUAGCACUGUGCACUUUUAAGAUCAAUAAACUCACGGAGCUUAACAAAACUUAGCAGUUCAUGACUCCAAAAGUUCAGACCCAGAACAAGCUUUGUAUCUGCAGGCACUGCUUUGCCAAAAAUGUCUCUUGUUUUGCAAUAAAUCUCACAGUUAUUCAGUUAGCACUCAGAGUCUAGAAACAAAAAUCCCCUGAGUGGAGAAGCCACAAUAGCUCCUGACAUCUAAUAAUACCAUCUCUGACUGACUCCUUUGUCUUAUAAGACCUCCUCCAAUUUCUAGCAUUUUUAAAGCCUGUGCCAUUAAGAUUAAAAGCUUUUAGACUGUACCCAGAGAGUGAUGUUUUAAAAGAAGAUCAAAGCCUAGUCCUACAAACUACCCCCCAAAAUACAGAAUGUUUGAAUAAUCUACCUUUAGAAAUAGAUAAUUACAAGAAUAUUUCCGGUGACACAGAGGUGACUUCUGUUUGAUAUUAUUCCCGACCUCCAGCCCUUGCCUCCCAGUUUGACAGACUAGGAAAACAAUGCCAGUCAAACAGCAGAGGGAGUAGGUGAAGAGAUAAAAGUAAAUAAAAUUAGAACCGACAUACAGAUAUUUUCAAUAAUACAGCAAAAUUUGAACCCAGCUUUAUUUCAAAGGUAUAGGGUUUUUUUUUCUGAUUUCAGAAUCAAUGUAGCAUAUCUUUGUACUGAUGAUAACAAUAAAAUUUGUGGGAGCCUUUGAUUUUUGUCCAAGUGCUUUCUAUGAUAAUAUCUCAUUCGGUCAUAGUAACCUCUUCAUUUAUACAGAGUAACUUUAUCUCUAUUUCAAAAGUAAAAACAGUCUUUUAGGGGUUAAGUUGCAUAAUCACGAUCAUCUAACAACUGGAAGAACUGGGAAUUGACUUCUUUCUUUGAAUCCUAUCGUGUGAUCUUUUCACCUUCCCGGGUUGCACAGAAAUUUUCAUUUGAAUGAAAGCAGAGAUGAGUCAUACAAGUAAAAUUAAAGUGUGAGGAAAAUGUCAAGUGUUCACUUUGACAUUGAAGCCUGAUAUGUGCCUUCGUUGUCUACCGUGCAGGAGCUGGUUAAUCUAUUUUAUGAAACAGAGGCAAAUGGUCAUAAUGGAAAUGAUUUGGAAAAUGACAUCAGGGCUAGUAUGCAAACUCCCCUGUAAAUGGGGUAUGUUCAGACAACUAAAGCAGGAAGAAAGAAAGACUGUAAUUGCAAUGUAUACAUCUAAGGAUAACCUGACCCCCUUGCUGUACAGUG
rnacentral:lncRNA from 1 species